rnacentral:rRNA from 1 species
ACGCUCGACACCUACGGGAGGCAGCAGUGGGGAAUAUUGCACAAUGGGGGAAACCCUGAUGCAGCGACGCCGCGUGAGCGAAGAAGUAUUUCGGUAUGUAAAGCUCUAUCAGCAGGGAAGAAAGUGACGGUACCUGACUAAGAAGCCCCGGCUAACUACGUGCCAACAGCCGCGGUAAUCUGAGCGGGCUGGCAAGGC